UGGGGAAGUUUGGACAAUGGGCGAAAGCCUGAUCCAGCAAUGCCGCGUGUGUGAAGAAGGCCUUCGGGUUGUAAAGCACUUUUGUCCGGAAAGAAAUCCUUGGCUCUAAUACAGUCGGGGGAUGACGGUACCGGAAGAAUAAGCACCGGCUAACUACGUGCCAGCAGCCGCGGUAAUACGUAGGGUGCAAGCGUUAAUCGGAAUUACUGGGCGUAAAGCGUGCGCAGGCGGUUUGCUAAGACCGAUGUGAAAUCCCCGGGCUCAACCUGGGAACUGCAUUGGUGACUGGCAGGCUAGAGUAUGGCAGAGGGGGGUAGAAUUCCACGUGUAGCAGUGAAAUGCGUAGAGAUGUGGAGGAAUACCGAUGGCGAAGGCAGCCCCCUGGGCCAAAUACUGACGCUCAUGCACGAAAGCGUGGGGGAGCAAACAGGAUUAGAUACCCUGGUAGUCCACGCCCUAAACGAUGUCAACUAGUUGUUGGGGAUUCAUUUCCUUAGUAACGUAGCUAACGCGUGAAGUUGACCGCCUGGGGAGUACGGUCGCAAGAUUAAAACUUAAAGGAAUUGACGGGG
rnacentral:rRNA from 1 species